rnacentral:lncRNA from 1 species
AGCUCUUUGAGCAAUUUGGCAUGCCAUCUAUCACUUUUAGAUUUGAAUCAAGUUGAAGUGUAAAUUAAUGAAAUAUUGAUGCUAACAACAAUUAAAAACCAAAUACUUUUGACUCUCCCCCUUUCUUUUCCAGAAGGACAAUUGUCUUAAAGCCAAUAUUCUUCAAUUUUAUCUUUUCAUUUGUUGAUUCUAAAUAAACUUUCAUUUGUCUUAAAGCCAAUAAAUUUUGCAUUUUGCAUUUCUAUUUCAAGUAUGAGUGUAAAUUUUGCAUUUUGCAUUUCUAUUGGUUCUACUCCCCCUUUUUGUCAUCAACAAUGAAGGGGACAAAUUUUCUUAGGUAUCUAACACGCGAUGCCUAUUAGAAUUUAGCAUUACCAUGAAACAAGCAAUGAUCUCCAAGUUAUGCACCCCCUUUCUAAGUUAUUUCCAUCAAUGAAUUCAGCAUUCAUUUUAUUCCCCCUUUGUUUUGGAAUUCAUUUCAGACCUUUUGAAUGCAGUUAUUACAAGUUGUGCUCCUCCUGUUUCAUAUGCAUUGACAAGUUGGCAAAAUAGUAAAAUGGUUGCACAUUGUCAAAUUUGAACAUUCAAAGCAUGUUAUGACAUUUUCAUGGCACAUCACAGAAUUAGAAACAUACAUCAAGAUUCAAAAAGAAGGGUAUGACAUUCAUAUGGUAUUACAAUCAUUUGAAGCCAUUACAAGGAUAAAAAGUCAUUACAAGGAUUGAUUGUUAAUACAAAAGAAGGAGUUUCAAAUAAGCCUAGGGUUUUACAAAAAGAUGAACCCUAGAUGUCCACAAAAUGUCCCUCACCGGCGACCACGCUCAAUAGCCCCAGCAGCAGCCUCUAUAAAUCUAUUUAUUGCAUCCAUUAGGCUUCUAAAGUGAUCUCCCUGAGAUUGAUUGAGGGCUGUCACUAGUGCUUCAAACUCAUGAGUUGCCCUGUCAAUCCUUC